rnacentral:rRNA from 1 species
UACGAGGGGGGCGAGCGUUGUUCGGAAUUAUUGGGCGUAAAGGGUGCGUAGGCGGUUUGGUAAGUCACUUGUGAAAUCUCUGAGCUUAACUCAGAACGGUCAAGUGAUACUGCUGUGCUAGAGUGCGGAAGGGGCAAUCGGAAUUCUUGGUGUAGCGGUGAAAUGCGUAGAUAUCAAGAGGAACACCUGAGGUGAAGACGGGUUGCUGGGCCGACACUGACGCUGAUGCGCGAAAGCCAGGGGAGCAAACGGG